CUUACAGGCUUGGAGGCCACCAUACCCUGUUCCCCUUGGGAUGGGAUUCCAGUAGAGAAGCCACGAGCUGCCUUACCAACCACCAGGGUGGCUUGUAUUGGUACUGUAGUCUGCCUGGACUCCUUAGUUUUAAUUUUCUCACGAUGCGAUGAAACCACACUGACCUCAUAAGCGAAUUGCUUAGAUGACAUUGCCAGAUGAUCCAACAGAUUAUUUACCUUCCAGCUGCAAAAAGAGCAAGCAUAAAACCACCUGGUCCUUCCAGUCAAACCUCAGGGAAAAGCACCUUGUACGUCCGCUGAUGUGGUUGACAGUUUCCGCAGACAAAACCUACAAUUUGAGCAUCCAAGGAUAGACAUCUCGGCAUCAUUCCUGCCCUCUGGUCUCAACCAUCUGAUGUGUCUUCUCCAGCUGUGGCCAUUAUCUAGCACAUCAGAUAAAGGCUAUGAAGAAAAAUCCAUAAUACAUGCAGAUUAAUAUGCCCUUCGCAGGAAAACAAAAUCAUUGCAGAUUUUCAUCAGUGUGAUUGCAUGGACUUUGCACAGCAACAGAUGCUAUAGACACACUAUGGUUUAUCCCUGAAAACUCUCCCUAGAGCCAAUAGGAAGAAGUUGAAUGACAUAAUACAAAGAUUCACAGUAAUGUACAACAUAUCAGUGAUACUUGAGAUGGAUAGCAAAAUAACAGCUUUAAAAAACACUUCUUUAGUGCUCUGUUCCCAUAGUUACAUGGAACAGUCACCACUGUCAAGUGACCAGCAGUGCAAGAAGACCCACUUGCUGGAAAUCAAUGCUAAUCAAACUCAGACUGGAAAUUAGGCAUGAAUUUUUAACAAAGAAGCUGGUUAAUCACAGGAAAUCUCACCCUGAGAUUAUUCAUAUCCUCCAGAACUGGAGAUCUGCUCAACAGAAGUGCAGGAGUGCUCAAGCAGAAGGUGCUGAGCAAGUUUCUCUGAACUUAAAGGAAUUCAGUUCCUGUCCUGUCUCUCCUCAAAUGUUCUGCAGCCACGUCAUCCCACAAAACACUCUCUCAGGAUCACCUGGUUGCUUUUAAAGAUGUUACUUUCAGAUCAAGUGCUGCCAAGUCUGCGUCUCUUACUCAGACCAAGACAAACUAAAUCAAUACUUGCUGGUUUAUGUGCAGCUAGGCUGGUGGUGAUACUUCAGAGUAACUAAUACAGGCCUCUGCUUCUGUGAUUAUGGAUGGUAAACACUGCACAGCAGCUGGGACCCCUGCAGGAGUCGAAUGAGAGUGACUGAGAAGAUGUGUCAUAAACGAAUACACCCUCUAGCAUAAAGGGGAAAAGUGCAACAUCAAUCAGUGCGGAAAUCCCAUCCACAGCUGGAGUUCCUAUGCAUUACCCACAAUGUAAUUAGCAGCUAAGAAGAACAGUGAGAGCCGGUCUUCUCUUGGCUUCCUUUCCACGUGCCUGCGGAUAAAUUCUACAAGUAUUAAAGGAAAACGCGCUGAAAGGAUAUCUAAGGU